rnacentral:rRNA from 1 species
CGGGGUGGAUUAUUGGCGAACGGGUGAGUAACACGUGGGCAAUCUGCCCUCCACUUCGGGACAAGCCCUGGAAACGGGGUCUAAUACCGGAUACGACGCGCUCGGGCAUCCGAUGUGCGUGGAAAGCUCCGGCGGUGGAGGAUGAGCCCGCGGCCUAUCAGCUGGUUGGUGAGGUAAUGGCUCACCAAGGCGACGACGGGUAGCCGGCCUGAGAGGGCGACCGGCCACACUGGGACUGAGACACGGCCCAGACUCCUACGGGAGGCAGCAGUGGGGAAUAUUGCACAAUGGGCGCAAGCCUGAUGCAGCGACGCCGCGUGAGGGAUGACGGCCUUCGGGUUGUAAACCUCUUUCAGCAGGGAAGAAGCGCAAGUGACGGUACCUGCAGAAGAAGCGCCGGCUAACUACGUGCCAGCAGCCGCGGUAAUACGUAGGGCGCAAGCGUUGUCCGGAAUUAUUGGGCGUAAAGAGCUCGUAGGCGGCUUGUCACGUCGAUUGUGAAAGCCCGAGGCUUAACCUCGGGUCUGCAGUCGAUACGGGCUGGCUAGAGUGUGGUAGGGGAGAUCGGAAUUCCUGGUGUAGCGGUGAAAUGCGCAGAUAUCAGGAGGAACACCGGUGGCGAAGGCGGAUCUCUGGGCCAUUACUGACGCUGAGGAGCGAAAGCGUGGGGAGCGAACAGGAUUAGAUACCCUGGUAGUCCACGCCGUAAACG